rnacentral:rRNA from 1 species
GACGAACGCUGGCGGCGCGCCUAACACAUGCAAGUCGAGCGAUGAAAUUUUAACCGAUCUCUUCGGAGAGAAGAUAAAAUGGAUUAGCGGCGGACGGGUGAGUAACACGUGAGAAGCCUGCCUUUCACAAGGGGAUAGCCUCGGGAAACCGGGAUUAAUACCCUAUGACACAUUUCCUUCGCAUGGAAGAAAUGUUAAAACUCCGGUGGUGAAAGAUGGUCUCGCGCCUGAUUAGCUAGUUGGUGGGGUAACGGCCCACCAAGGCCAUGAUCAGUAACCGGCCUGAGAGGGUGAACGGUCACAUUGGAACUGAGACACGGUCCAAACUCCUACGGGAGGCAGCAGUGGGGAAUAUUGCACAAGGGAGGAAACUCUGAUGCAGCGACGCCGCGUGAGCGAUGAAGGCUUUCGAGUCGUAAAGCUCUGUCCUAUGGGAAGAUAAUGACGGUACCAUAGGAGGAAGCCCCGGCUAACUACGUG